GAGGUUCUCCCUUGAAACAGGGGGACAAUCUUCCCCUGUUCAUUGUGAGAAUUUCUAAUUGUUCGCCAAUGUUCCGGAUAUGGUAAGGGAAUUUUUCUCUGGGAAAAUGGUACGUGGGAUUAUCUCUUACCAUAUAGCGUAUGGAUUAUCGAGAAAUUAUAAUUUUUUCAAGAAAUUUAACAGUUGAAAAGCAGUGCGUAAGUGUCUGGUGUUUUUAUUGUAGUUGGCAAAUAAAUAAUGGCGGAUUUUGUCAUUAGUUGGUAUUCACAAAAUCCGCAAUCACUUAGUUGCCAAUAGAAAUGAAAUUAUGUAAAUCAUUGGCGAUAUCAUGUAAUGUUAUAGGUUUGAUAAUAUUAGCAUCAGUAUUAGUAAUAUUAAUAGCUGUAAAUAAUAGGAUGAUGUAUUUUAACAGUAUAAUUAAUAUUAAAAGUAGGGUAAGAGGAUUUUUCUUUCGAUAUGGAAGAUGUGACUUUCUGUUAGAAAAUUGUGUACGUAUUGUGAAAAAAUUACAAGUUCUCUAGGAAAUUAGGCGAUUUAAUCGUAACGUACAAAUCAUGCUUUUAGAAAUGAAAUUAUGUAAUUAUUAUUAAUUGUGUAAUUAUUACAGGUAAUCGUGUAAUUAUUAGUAAUUAUUAGUAAUUAUAUAAUUACACAGGUAAUUACGUAAUUAGUAGCGUCGUAUCAUCAUGAUAUUUCAAUGAUGUACUAUUAAAACGAUGCCUGUAAGUUAAAGAAGAACUAAAUAUUAGGAAAAACAUAAGAAGCCACUUCUCAAUUUGUUCAUUUCCUUUCAUCUUCCUCUUCUUCCUUGCGACUCCUAAAAGAUUCUGAAAAGUCACAAGCUUCGAACUUCGAUCUUAUCGAAAUCCCUGAAAUCAGCGAACUCUGAAAAUCGAUAGUUGCCGAGCGAAAAAUCCUAACGGUAUGUAAAAGUUACUAUUGUGAAAAUUUCAUUUCAUCUCUUACAGGUCUCCUUAGUUUUACGGCAAAUAAAAAUUAUAUUUCACUACUAAAAAUGUAAAAAACCAUUUCGCAAAUGAUAGCACUAAACCGACUUACAUCGCCAUAAUCCUCAUCUAGCCAAUUAUCACAAACACAAAACGGUGAUAAUUUCUCACAGAUACGAGCAACAAAUGAAUAACAAAAAAAAAGCGAAACAAAAAGAAAAAGAAACUCUGAAUCGGACAUAGAACGAGCGCAAACGAGGGAAGAACAAUUCUCGCGCCCUUCGUGUGCGGCGAGGUCCGUCCUGCUCGUUUCUUUCUUCUCCGG
rnacentral:misc_RNA from 1 species